UGCUUGCAUUCCACACAGCAAACAGCAAUGGAACAUCUUUCAUUCACUUGACUUGUUUGCAAAUCUUUGAGGGUGGCUCACGAGGAAUGCGGUGGCCUGGCUGAAUCCUCACUCCAUUGAUACUUUUCUCAGAAGGGCCAUCCAGAGCUGUGUUUACCACGCAGUCAUCCCACAGCCCCACAGGAGGACGUGACAUUCCUGGCUUCUCGGCUGCCUGGCUCUGCUCAGCCUUGCUGGGACAAGUCCUUCCUCUUCGCUGCGAAUGGCUCUAUAUUUCGUCUGGAGUGACACCUGAUUUGGAGAAGCUGAGCUGAUUUCCCUGGAAAACCAAGCUUUCUGGGUCUGAUUUCCCUAUGAAGACAAACAGAGAGAGCUAGAGCUGUUCAGCCUGGAGAAGAGAAGGCUCCAAGGAAGACCAGAGAUCAGCCUUUCAGUAUCUGAAG